rnacentral:lncRNA from 1 species
UUUUGGUUUUUCUCCGGUACCGGGAACCGAACUCACGACCUUGCGCUUGCCAGGCAGGCGCUUUGCCGCUGAGCUAAAUCCCCAGCCCCAGCACUGCAUAAUUUAAAUAUCCUUCAACAAUAAAAAGAAACCACUCUAAGAUUUCCUUCAGAGUUUAAGAAGGCAAGUUUAAGCCUGGAAAGUUUGAAGCCAGCCUGGGCUACACAGUGAGUCCAAGCCCAACUUAAGUUACAUAGCAAGACUCUGUCUCAAAAAAAAAAAAAAAAAAAAAAAAAGAGAAAGAGAAUCAGAAAAACACUUUUAUAGUCAGCUAGAGAAAUCCUAAUACUUACAGAUAUACAGUUUCUAUAUAGCUUUUCUACAAAUACAAGAAGUUUGGCACAAUAUGCAAUUAUUUGAAAAAGAAAGAAGUUGAGUCCUAGGGGAUAAAAUGGAGGGGAAAUAAAAACAACAGAAAUACAGUAAGAGAAAAUGAAAUAAGGAAAACAGAACAAAAGAUUCCUGCAGCUGCCAGAGUUGAGGGAGCUGAAAUUAGGAACUUUGCAGAAAGGCAGAGAUUUGCAAGAUAGUCGGAUAUGUUCUCCGCUGGGGGCUAGAACUGUGUCUGUCACAUAUUUGUGUCUGCAGAUCCUGGAAUGCAGUGGUCUAUUAAUAUGUACUAACUGAAGUAAAUGAAUGAAGCCUAUAAACUUCUGUAUAAUGGACAGCAGUUUUAUGAAAUGCUUUUGAAACAUUUUCCAUUUGAAGCAUCUAAUAAGGGUAAUGAAUAGUAGCAAUGAACUACUGUGAGCUUUUUAUGACUUAAUUUCCUUUAUUGGCUCAGCCAUUUAACAGCCUUUGUUGAGUAGCAGGCACAAUGGUUCAGCCUGUCGGAGCCAUGGUCUCCUUGCAGACAGCCUGGGGACAAUUACAACAGGGAUAGUGGUGGUGGUUGAGGUCAACACAACAUCCAGACACCUCCUUUCAAUCGGAAGCCUUCUGCAGCAAUGCAGGUGCUCACAGCCUUCAGUUGCCUUGAAUCUCAUCUCCCUGUGGUUGUCUGCAGCUUUCAAAAGCCACAAAACUUCAUUCUGAAGCAAGAGUUCAAAUGCUUCCCACAGGGAGCUCAGUUCCAAAAUCUCUUGCUUCUCUGAAAUGCAUUCUUAAGCACUGGAAGAUGUUCAACCCAAGAGCUAUUUGAUAUUUUUCUGCACAUGUGCAUAGCCUACCUACUCCCUACAGCCAUAAUGGA